AAUUUUGUUAUAUGCUUGCAUAGGUGAUUAUCCUACAAAUGUUAAUAAGCUCUGUUUUAUAGUUUUGUUAUUUGAAUCACCAUUCCCAUUUUCUGUGAAAGUGAUUAAUGCUUAUCUAUUACAUUUACUUCUUAGAUUGGAUUGGCGAUGUCUCCAUUGAGCAACAACUCCUUAUUUCUAGAAUAUAGUUUUGCCGCACAGGUAUGGAAGCUCACUGCUUGUGAUCUCUGUGAGAUAGCAAGAAAUUCAGCUCAUCAAUCUGGAUUUUCCCAUGGAGCAAAGGACAUAUGCAUGUGGCUGAGGCACUGAAAGUACCGCUUCACAUAUUCUUUACUAUGCCUUGGACGUAAGUCUUGUUGUUUGAGUAGAAAUCCAAUACUCUUAAAAUUAUUAGAGUCACCACCUUAUCAUUAUAUUUCACCUACAUUCUGCAAGUGCCUUUUCUAUAUGCCAUAUUGUUCAUUUGUCACUAUUACAUUUUUAGAAAACAUGAUGAAGCAAACAGAAAUUGCAGUUUUCUGCUUCAGAUAAUAUUAUAUUCUUUUGCUUUACACUUACAA